rnacentral:rRNA from 1 species
GUAGGGUGCAAGCGUUAAUCGGAAUUACUGGGCGUAAAGCGUACGCAGGCGGCUUGGCAUGUCGGGUGUGAAAUCCCCGGGCUCAACCUGGGAACUGCAUCCGAAACUGCCUUGCUAGAGUAUGGGAGAGGGAAGCGGAAUUUCUGGUGUAGCAGUGAAAUGCGUAGAUAUCAGAAGGAACAUCAGUGGCGAAGGCGGCUUUCCUGGACCAAUACUGACGCUCAGGUGCGAAAGCGUGGGGAGCAAACAGGAUUAGAUACCCUGGUAGUCCACGCCCUAAACGAUGAGAACUAGAUGUCGGGAGGGUUUGCCUUCCGGUGUCGCAGCUAACGCGUUAAGUUCUCCGCCUGGGAAGUACGGCCGCAAGGUUG